rnacentral:rRNA from 1 species
GAUGAACGCUGGCGGCGUGCCUAAUACAUGCAAGUCGAGCGAACAGACGAGGAGCUUGCUCCUCUGACGUUAGCGGCGGACGGGUGAGUAACACGUGGAUAACCUACCUAUAAGACUGGGAUAACUUCGGGAAACCGGAGCUAAUACCGGAUAAUAUAUUGAACCGCAUGGUUCAAUAGUGAAAGACGGUUUUGCUGUCACUUAUAGAUGGAUCCGCGCCGCAUUAGCUAGUUGGUAAGGUAACGGCUUACCAAGGCAACGAUGCCUAGCCGACCUGAGAGGGGGAACCGGCAAACCGGAAACGAGAAACGGGCCAGAAACCUACGGGAGGCAGGAAUAAGGAAUCGUGCGGAAAGGGCGAAAGCCUGACGGAGCAACGCCGCGUGAGUGAUGAAGGUCUUCGGAUCGUAAAACUCUGUUAUGAGGGAAGAACAAAUGUGUAAGUAACUAUGCACGUCUUGACGGUACCUAAUCAGAAAGCCACGGCUAACUACGU